GCUCCGGAGAUGUUAAAUCGACAAGUUCGGUUUUUGGUUGGAAAUUGAAGCUUUGAUGGGCAGAGUAAAUGGGGUCAGAAACAGAGGAGUUGGAUUCUGAGGCGGAAAGAGAACCAUGGUGCUCGAGUUUAAUGGGUUGGAGUUUGUGGGUGAUAUGGAAAUCAAGAUUACUGAUGAAGACGUCAGUGGAAGUGAAGUCUCCAAGAAGAUGCUGUCUAAUAAGCUCUAGAGCUG
rnacentral:misc_RNA from 1 species